AUUAAUAAUUCAACAUACAAGUAAUAUGACUAAAUUUUAAUCACAUACAUGCAUCCAACUAUAAUCAAGUUCUUUUACAUUCUUGCAUCAUUUCUUUUUACAUCUCAUUUCUCCCAAAAUAUAACUUUUGACAUUUAAAAUAAAUAUCCUUUACAUCAUUCAUUAAAACAUGUUCAUGAUACUAAAAUCAUCAAAUACAAAAGAUGAUAGUAAAGGAUAUGCGACUACAAAAUGAUAACCAUCUCGGGCGGUCUCUAACUAGGGCGCGAUGCCCUUACCGCGAUCAUCCGCCGGCUCGCUCGGUCCGAGCUCUGUGGAAAAUGGGGUGUGAGAACUACAACAAAGUUUCCAGUGGAUUCGGCAACCAACCACGCCGACUUUCCCAGCCUUGGGCUGACAGGGAAAGCUCUGUCCGUUCGGCGUCUGUUUGACGCCCUCGAACCGGCCAAAAGGAUCGGGCUCGGGGCGUGACAGUCAAUCUUCUCAUUCUCCAACUACGCCUUUUGCAACCUCUGUUGCAUCAGUACGACAACUUGUCAUAGAGUGAAACUGCUGGAGCGAUCAAAUUUCUCGAUCUCAAAUUUUUUUGACGUCUUUAACACCCAAACGAACACUCUGGCUCUUAUACCAGUUUGUUAGAACUAAAACCGAAAAGAUUUAGUUCGUCGGGUGCGAAAAUACCAAAAGAGAUCCGAGAAAAAAAGAAGAAAAAUAAAGCACACAAUAUUUACGUGGUUCGGCCACCGGCCUACGUCCACGGGAGAAGUCGGAGCGAAGAUUUUCAUUGUAAUCAAACUGGUGUAUAAAAUAUGCCUCUCUCACAAAACCCUAAUCUCAAAAAUACACCCAUACUUUCUCUCUCAUCUUCCGCACUAAACUAAUGGAAUAAAGGGUAUAUUUAUAAUAGUGGCUAAAUCCUAAUACAACUAGAAAUACAAACCCACUAAAAUUAGUAAUAUCUCAAUAAAAUUAGGCAUAAUCUAAACUUAACUUAAUGGGUUUUUUGUGGACAAUAAAUUAAAGAUUUUUUGUAAUUUAUUUGACUAUCUCUUUCUUCAAAACAAUUAUGAAUAUUGGCAGGACAUCAAAAAAAUUUCAAUAGAGAGCUCUCUAAUAAUGAUGCCUUAUUAAGGAGCCAUAACCUGCUGUCAUAUGUCAAUUUUGUCGUUAUCCAAAAAUUAUAAUACUUUUUAUAGGAAUAAAAAAAAUAGUAUUAAAAACUAUCCAAUAAACUCAUGAAUGGAAGUAAAAUUAAAACGUGGGAGGGGAUUGAGGGUUUCGAAAUAUGAUGUCAUUAGGAAGUUCCCAACUAAAAUUUUAUUGCAUAUCAUUUGUACAACCACAAAAAAUUGAUAAGAGCCACUUGUAAUAAAAAGUGGCGUGGCUUGGUGGUUGAAUUCGAUGCACAUAAGGGUAUAAUGUAGGCCAUAUCGGACUGGCAAGAUACACAUUUAUUUGAAACAAAACGGAUCAGCAUGGCUUUGAAUCCGAGCCAUAUCCUGCCAAGCCUCAUCAAAUUUUAUGAACCUGUGGCUCAAAUAUCUAAAACCUGUAGGGACCACUCAACCCUAGGACGGACCACUAUCAUCUUAACUAUAUAAUUCUUGAUUUAAGAGCCAAAAAGUCGAAAGUAUGAACUCCCUUAUACUUCUGAAAGUAUAGUAGCUCUACACUAUUGCUGAAGCUAGAAACCCGAUGUGAGGCGAGACGGACCGAAUUAGAGCACUGACUAUGUCAAGUUCUCCUUCAGGAAGCGAGUCGACUCCGGAGAUGACCCUCGAGUGCGCCACUGACGAGUCGAGUGAUUCGGCUGAGGGAUCGGCUCAACCAGAUUCUUCCACACACUGUUUACAAACUCAACUGAUCUGAGCCGAGUGGUUUGUAUUAAAGAUAAAAUAGAGGUACAAGAGUUGUUACAAAUAUCAACCCCAUCGCUAACCCUACUUUAUCAUGCUCUUAGUUGCGAGAGAAAUAACUAGAAAAUCUACCUAAAAUAACAAGGAAAGAUGAGUUUACAAACUCAGCUAAUGGCUCCUCUCUGCCUCAUCCUGUCGUUUCAUCUCCUACCACCUAACCCUGGUGCCAUCUCUUUCUCCUUCACCAGGGCACUCUCCCAAACAGGGGAAUACUCCUUUGUUUUACUUUUACUUUCUUCGUUUUACUUCUUUUCAUGUGCGGUUACUCAUCAUGCCCGCAGAAUUAAGCAAGGGAUAUUUCUGCACAUCUACCGGUAAUCCAACAGGACAAGAAACAAUAGAUUAUAAAGAAUUUUCUAUAGCAUACAAUAACAACCACUGCUGCUUAACCUUUAAAUUACCAUUCACCAGCAAAUUGCCACUGAAAUUUGAUGCAACAUGAAACAACAAUAAAUCCUUGCAAAGAGAAAGCACAUAUUUAAUGAAAUCUUCAGGCCUUCAAGAACAACUGAAACUUGAGACAAAUAAUAAAAUCACAAUGCGUGGCCCUUGAGACGGAAGGGCUGAUUAGAGAAUAUGCUGAAGAUUGCACAGCAGAAGUUGUAAUUGGUGAUUUAAGCUGACUUCUUUAGAUGAUUCCUGAUCCACGACUGGAAAUAUUCCAAUUCCUCAUCCACUAUCACAUGUCCAAGGCCAGGGUAAGCCUGAAAUUUUCAAAAAGCAGCAAAUUAGAUAGCAUUUCAUCUGAAACUCAAUUAUAGUUAAUGAAACAGAUCAUUGGAUCGCUUAUUAAUAUACAUUGGGAAUAUAAAUGUCCUUAGUACAACCUAUCUCAGAUUCUCAAGCACAAAUGGGCAAGAAGACAUAGUGCGGAACUCUACCUUAAAUUCGCAACUCAUGCCAAGUUGUUCUAAGAAGUGGCAACCAGCUUGCCCAGCCUCAAAUAACACAAUAUCAUCAGCCAUACCAUGGAGCCACAAUAUCGGUGUCUGCGUUACAAAAUUGUCACAUUGAAUUGAAUAUAUAACUCUUCGAUAUAAUAUCUUCCCGAGAAAUCAUAUAUUUUGAGUUGCAGUUAAGGAGCAUAGAAGCUGCCUUUUCUUUGGUCGAACUAUGACCUUGCAAAUACCAGCCGCAAAUCACCUUGUGGACAAAAGCGAGCAAUAAUUCUUGUAGAAUAUGUUCAUGCAAAAAGAAGUUUAUCACAAUUGUCCUUCCAGACAAUAAGAAAACGAGUGAACGCAAGGCAAAUUUGAAAUCUCAGGCCAGUCACAGAAGGAACAAUAUGACUAGGGUUCUACAUCUUAGAUCUUGAUCUCUGGCUUCAAUGAAUCGCGAGACGCUCAGCUGCUUGCACCAGAGAAUUUUUGGCCUGCUGAUGAAGAACUUGAUGAAGGAAUUCAGGCAGACUCUCCUUGCUGGUGAGAAGGACGGCCUAACAGGUUGCAGCGAAGCACCAUUUAUGGACGAAGAAGAAGAUCUUCACACUGGCGGAAGGCAUAAACUACUUCUAAGAAUUAAGACUACCAAAACUAAAACUAAAAAAAAUUCUUCUUUAUGAUUGAUACAUGAGAUCAUUCCAAUCAUCUUAUUCUAAACCUCCAUCUUCCAUCAAAUUGACCUAUUAGCAAGCUGUUUGAUAGUUGUUUGCAUCAUUUCACAUGAGCCUCUCUAAAUUGGCUUUAUUAGGUAUAUUACUUCAGUGUGGCUAUGCUUGCUAUGAAGUGAAUAGUUAAAUUGAACCUUCUCUAGAGACUAAACUUUUACUUCGGGACCUAGUAAGCGCUCUUUAACUUUUACGUCUGUAUCCUUGUGAUUACUUUAGGUUCCGGUGUUUGAGUUGAUAUUUGACAUUCCACUGUACAAUCAGUUAGAUUCUUUUGGAGGUAGUGAUCAAACACCCUUCGUUAUUUUCACUGAAAAAUUAAAAACAAGUUUCGAUAAUGAUAUAAAUUUUUUUGAUAAAAUGCUUUCCAAAAUGAAGGUUAAGUAUGCUUAUACAAAUUAUGAAUCAUUAAAAGAGAAAAAUUUUAAAGAUUUUGCCCGGACUAUUGUGUAAUUUCAGAUAAAUCAGUUUUUCUCUACUAAAUUGUGUUUGUAAAAUCAUACAUCUGCUAUGUAGUGAAUUUUACAAUUUUGCACUUAUGUUUAUCAAUUAAAUCUUAAGAUUCAGCAAACUUCAAUAUUCAUUAGAUUUAUAGAUUAGGUUAAUGUGUUACAAGUAACAUCAAAAUUUUGGUCUCUAGGUAUUCUACUAUUCUUUUGUUGGUCAUGUUGACAUGAACUAUGUGAUAGAAGUUAGCUUUGAUGUUGGGCUAGUGACGUGCCUCCAGGUGCUAUGUGAUGCACAUUUGCAUGCCAAUGCUAUGUGAUGCAUGUGCUAUGUGCUUGUGCCGUUGGUGCUUGUGAUGUAUGCUUUGGACCUUUGCCAAUGGGUCGCUUAUAUAAUUGGUUACCAUAUACAUUUGUUUUGAAAUUCCAAUUUUUUCAGAACCAAAAUAAUUAAGUCAAAAUUCUAUUUUUCUCAGUUCGAUUGCAAAAUAUGUUUUGUUUAAAAUUCAAAUUUCUGAAAUUAAGAUUUGUGAAGCUUCUAAGUGAAACCUUGUUACUAUUAUUGUAUUUUCAGUAUGUAAUUUAAUCUCUGAAUAUUUAGAUAAACUAUUCAUGCUUAGCUCGACUAAUGAGGUGGUAUUAAGUCCAAUCAGCUUAUGAAGUAAUUGUUAGUUGCAAAGACCUGUAUUAAUUUCAUGCUUUAAAUAAUGAAUUUAGUAAGAUUAGUUGGUUCAGAAUGAUUUUGAGUUUGAAUAAUUGCAUAAUUGCGGAAUUUUUAGUAGCGGAUUUUAGAUUUUGUGGCCAAUUGAUUUAUUAGCGGUUUUGUGGGAUUCAAACCAGUUAGAUUGUUUAAUUUGUUCUUGCAGUAGCAUGUUACAACUGGAUAUCUACAAGUUUUGUAGUCCUCGUAUUUGCGAUUAAUCAAUUGCACGUAUGUAGCGUCUAUUAUGUCUCGGGUUUGGGGACUGACAAGUUUUUCUUGUCCACGAGCAAUGACGUCAUAGAUCGCCAUCCUCUAGUGUGCCAAGGUGGUGCCUCCACCUGGCAUUGGGUUGUGCUGUACAAUAUCACGCAAGAAAUAAGGUUUCUAGUGGCGAUUAUUUUGUUCAAGCUUUUAGAGACAAACGGUUGUUUAACAUUAUUUCAUAUAGUAUUAAAGCAGGAUACCCCCUAGGAGUGAGGGUGAAUGUUGAAUACAAAAUUUGUGCGAAGUCUCUAAAUUAUGCAGCAUUGUACAUCUCAGCCAAACACAAUAAAAACACAACCCAGAAAAACCAUAUGUAGAAUGUCAGCAAGCCAAGAUAUGAUGAGGGAAAUCCAUUGUGGCAAAAUUUCAUAGAUAAGUCUUUGGUGAAUGUCAUUAAACUGUGUACUGCCAGCUAAAUUGGAAUUUAACUAUCUUUUUAGCAGACAAAAGUUAAGGGAACUCUGGAAAAGCUACAAAGAAAGCUAUUUCGCUGGUUGUGAAACAUAUGUAGUAUAUAAAGCCUAUGCAAAGAUGUUUUCCACAAAAAAGGCAUCAGAGGAUUAUAUAUAUACCUUUCUAGCUUCGAGAGGAAUUUGUUUCUCAAUUGAAGAGCCUAAAGGAACUGAUCCACUGAAGACAACGCCUCCUCCCAGAGUUUUUGGAUAAAGCAUAAUACUUGCUGUGGUUAAGGCACCUGCCAAAACAUUGCGUGCUGCAGGUAACUUCUACAUUUUUAUUUUACCAAAAGAUAAGGUAGUAAUACAUUUACCACGAAAUUGCUCUACCUCCUUGACUAAACCCACAAAUGAAUAUAUUUCCAGGACUUACACCAUCAGCUAUUUCCUUAUCAAUCAUCGCAUGCACAACCUGGACAGCUUUUAGAACUCCUUUCUCAUCUCUUGUAGAUUUCUGGUGACACAGAAGUUGUAACUUGUAAAUGUACAAGCAUAGAUCCAGAUGUGAAAUUAGCUGGAUUAGUUGGAACUUACGGCAAUUGUAAAGUUCUUUAUCAAUAUUUGUGAUAAGCUUCUUUCUUUAUUUUUUUUCCUACAGUUACAAGAAGGCCACGAGAGUGAAUAAGAAGAGAGAGAACAAGAAGUCCAGAAAUUCAGAUUCUAUUUCAAAGGAUAUGAUCUUCAGGAAUGAAACAUGAUAGUAAUUUUAAUUAAUGUAUUGCAUAGAACAUGUUAAUAGUUCUCAUGUGGUAAGCACAUUUUGAUCAAACCACUGAAAUACUGAAGCGGCCAGCUAUCAUUGUGAAAAUCUGGUAAGAACCUUUCCAGACAAACCAAAAUCACUUCUAAGAAGUUGAAUUCUUUGAUUUUAUCACUCAGAUAAAAAUAAGAAGUUAAGAAGCAUACUAUGAAAUCCGAUCCAAGUUCCUUCCAAGCAUCGGAAAAGAAAAAUAAAAUGACAAUUUAGGAAGAAGAAUCAAGGUUAUUUCAGAAGGCAAAAACAUUUUGGGAUCGCUGAAAAUACUUCUUUUGCUGAUAUAUGUGCUUCGUUCAAAUUCUUUUCAAACAUAAAUAAUCAAUCAGAUAAUUAGAUAGAGAAGGGAGGUCCUCCAAUGCAACUGGUAACAGCAACUCACCACAGAAUGAAUAACAAUAGGAUCUCUUAACAUAUAGAGCAAAAAUGAAGUAAUAGCACACCGUUGCUAAUGUCGGCAACUUCGAAACACAAUGUUAGUUCUCUAGACCAAAUUGCCCUAUUCACAGAUUUAGGCAACCAAUAAGAUCAGUUUGCUAUGCUAUAGACCCAUGUUCAUUUAUAAAUUGUUCGAAGGAAGCUAGUAAGCACACUGAUUUGACCUCCCAAAACUUAGAUGGACUAAACUAACAUUUAGCUUUAACUAACAUAAGAUUUCAUUGGCCCUGCGGAAACAUGACUGAGCCUUGAAAGUCCUGAUCAUGUGUCUUCUAUCCCUUAAGUCCAAACCCACCCUCAAAACAGCAGCAUCGCCUUCAAUAUUUUGGUCUGGCACCCAUAAUGUACCCAUUAUUGCAGGGUUCACUACAUUUUGCCUAUACAUUUUAACCAGAAAUUUUCUUAUAAACACGAGUCACAAUCUAGAUAGCCAAGAGAGACAAAUGGUUGAGAAGGAAUUAUGUUGAAAAGUUCAGCCCAGCAACUAUAUUAAUCCAAAAACUUAAUAGGAAAUAGUCGCAUAAAAUGUGCUGCCUCAAAUAAGACAUUUUCAAGGUUACUCAAGAAAGGUUGACAAUGGCAUCAUCUAAUAGUACAAGAAACACGUCCUUGAGCAAAUAUAACUUACGGCAGUAAUAGGCACUUCAGUAAUGUCAAACCAUGCAGGGAUGGCUGCACCACCUACAGGAAAAUAUUUCUUGUACCAAUAAGCAAUAGUAACAUAGCAUCAUAUAGCAAUUGCCAACAGCUAAAUAUAAUUGCAGAAAAGUUACCAUCUUCUUUGCUUUUUAAAGAAUUAGUUAACAUCCUAAUUAGCAUCAGGGACUGAAGGAUUUCAACCAGAUUUCAGUCACUUACCUUAAUUACAGGAAGAAGGGGAAAAAAAAAAUCUUUCAUGCAAAAACAAACGAAUAUAAAGUUUGCAAAAAAGGAAUUUGGAUUGAACUUCUAAUUAAAUGAAACUAAAAUAGAAUUGGAGACAAAAGAAAACUAUAGAUGUACUACUUGUCGUGAACAAAAUCGAAUGGGAUCAGAAUGAAAUUAGUGAAACCUCCUAAUGCGUCUAGUUUAAGUAAAUUGGAAUAGUCGGCUCCCAAGUUGCUGCUUAGUUCAUUUAAGCUAGGAACAGGAGUAGACCUUUCGAAAUGACAUUUCCUGCUACAAUUUUCAGCAUAUGAAAUUUCAAGAUCAAAAACAUCAUACUUAUAUAUGUUAUGCAGUAAUUUGAUAUAGAUUACCCAAAAGGCAUUUCCUAUCCAAACCAAAUCAACCAAAUCAACCAAACAAAGCUGACUGAGACUCAGACCUAAUAAUGGUGAUAGUGGAGCUCGUAAUGAAAGAUAAAUAGAUCUCAAAUAGAUGUAGGCUCAGGAGUACCUUUUGAGAACCGAUCCAUGAACAAAGAGUGUAUGUUGCGUCUGAAGUAAAUAAAGUUCAAUCUAGGCCUAUAUGCAAAGAACGAAGAGUAAUUGAAGAAAAAUCGCAAGAAAAACUAACUAACAAGCCGAUCAAAUAUACAUGAGAAUCCUUUCAAGACAAAUACGGGAUCUAGAAACACAAGAAGUAAUUCAAUUAAGAGAUCGAAAGAGAACAGAAGUGAUUAUAACACCAUAACUCUAAUCAUGUACUCAGACACCUCCAAGUAGAUAUUGAACAAACUGGUUGGGACCACUGCACGGGCGAGUCCACAAAAUAUAGUGCUUGUACCACGAGCACACUCAAAUUCCCAAUCUCUGCUCAAAUCCAUGAGACAAAUGAUUGAGAUGGUGUCUAUAGUGAUUACUGAGUAGAAACCCUAAAUCCUAAAAAUUAAGAAAAGAGGAUCUACACUGAAGAAACCCUAUGGAGUAUGGAGACUGUAAGGUGACUUGAACAAAUUGGAAGUAGAAUUCAACAAACAUCCAUAUGGAUUCGGUCUCGAGUUGCUCUUAAAGUAGAAAACAAGGCUACAGAAAACAAGAAUGCUCAAGAAUAACUGUCUUAACUAUGGGAAAACCCCGUAAAGAAAUCCUACACGGUCCAAUCCGUCUUUCCUAAAAUAUGUAGUGAAUAGUAUAGGUCUCAAUAGGGAUCGGUUCAUUAUUUCAAAGCACUCUAUUCUUGAUAAACUUCAGUAUAAAUUUCAUUUUGUCUAAAUAAGCCCACAAUCUACUAGUCCAUCAGAAUCACUCAUAAAUCAAUGAAGAAACUCUCUCUAAGUGUUGUAAAACUACACAUUAAUACCCUAAGUUUCAAGGAAAGAAAGGAAAAGAAGAAAAUAGACGGGAGAAAACUGAACUUUGACACCCUAGUGUCGGAUUCCAGAAUUUGGUAAGAAAUUUCGGAAAAUAAAACCAUGAAUAGUGGAAUCCUAGGUUCAAGUUUCAGAAUUUGAUAUGGAAUUCCGGAAAUUAAAGCUGCAGGUUUGGGUUCCGGAAUUCCAAUAGAAAAUUUCGAAACAUGCAAAAAAAACAGCCUGAGAAAGCUAUCUUGGAGUGAAAUGCAAUGUGGCUUGUUUGAAAUGCCUAUUUGCAUUUGUCUAACCCCCAUAAAAAGGUCCAAGGGGAGCCCUAACCUUUUUCUCUCUUCCUCUCUUCCUCCCCCAAGAGAAAACCCAUUUUUCAUCUUUCUCCUCCCUCUUCCUCUUCUCCUCCUUCACCAUCUUUUUCAUCCUCAAGGUCUCCUACUUGAAGAGUGAGCUUUAGGUAGCUUGGACAAAGAGAUCUUGAUCUCGAGAGCAACAUUAUUGAAGAGGAGCUCAAGCUAAAGCGAGUGGUAGUAGUAUGUUGAAUUUUUGGGAGAUCUUUGGAGAGCCAAAUUAUUUUCAUGGUUUAGAAACUCUCGAGUGACCAAAAUGAGUUUAUGAAGGGGUUCCAUAGGUGUAUUGUUGCUAUAGUGAGUUUUGAGGUUUUGUCUUGCAAAGAUCCGUCAAUGCUUGAGCUCCUACAUUAAUUUGUAGGGGUUUUUACGGUGAUUUGGGUGGGAACUUGUGAUUUUAGGGUUCUAGACAUGAAACCCUAAUUUUCCAAGAAAAAUUCAAAAUUUAGCAUGCCGUUUGGUCGACUCGCGUUUCAUUUACCUUUGUGUCAUUUUCUAUGUGAGCCUUGAGUGAUCUGGAGUUGAUUCUAGUUGAAUCAACAUUGCGAUUUUGCAAAAUUGCGAAAAUUGCAUGUGGUUUUGCUGUCUGCAAACUAGAAUUUCAAAAGUCACCAGGGAAUUCCAGAACUCAAACCAAUAGAGUAAUGCGUAUACACUAUUUUGCAGAUUUAAGAUGGAGUUUCAGAAUAUGGUUGGGAAAUUCCCAAACUUGAAACUUUGGGAACUUCAAUAAGGAUAGUUUAUGGAUUCUUUUGGUCGGGAAACGCAUCGUAGCUCUGUCUAUGUAACGGUCCGACCCGCUAGCAAUAAUAACUCGUUGGGCCCAAGCUAUUGGCCUUAAAUGCUUAAACCUAGUUAUUAUUACUAGGAUGCGUGGCGUCUUACAUUCCCACUCAGAACCUCUUUUUCAUUCAAUGUGGGACUAUUGGGGUGUUUCAAACUCCCCCCGUUUAAACCAUGGCAUCCUCGUCAGGUUCAAACCCGAUCACACAAACAUAAACCAAAAUUAGUAGGCGAUAUAAGAUUCUAGAGGUAACUCUUACGGGUUCAAGAGGUUGCUUCCACCAAACCCGUGGUAUAGCACUUUAUCCCGCAUAGCACUUAGCUCUCACACUUUCGUCUAGUAUUCCGUUCUAAUAGCAAAAAUAAUGACCGACACAAUAGCAAUAAUAACUCGUUAGGCUCAAAUCACUGGCCCAAAAUGCUUAAGUCUGAUUAUUAUUACUAUAGUGCAUGGCCUCUCAUAUUCUCAAUCAGUACCCCUUUUCUAUCCGAUGUGAGACCAUGGAGAGUUACAGUGUAUGACUAGUUUAUGCUCUUUUUAGCUCCAAGUGACGUCCGGAGAGCCGAGGGCGCACUAUGAUUCCCAUGGAAGGGAACCUAAGGUAAGCGCUUCAAUCUGAAGAGGAUUUAGUGAAACCUCGGUGCGUGGUUCUGCAUGGUUCUAGUUUCUUGCCCUUCUCCAUGCUUCUUUUUACUCCCUAACAAUAAGAUCAUAUGAUAGAUUGAUGCUGGAAUCCUAUUCACUUGAAUACAUGUAUUUCCAUUGUUUACAUGUUCAAAGUAGACAUAUAGUAGCAUGCUAGUUGAACAUUAUCAUAUAGCUAUCGUUGUUUUCUUGUAUAGCCAUAUAUAUAUGAUGCAUGCUAGAUAUAAUUGUUCAUACAGCAUGAUGACAUGAGGACUAGCGGUAGUGGUGGAAUGUAUAUUGACCAAAGUGGCCUUCAUAAUGGAUAUUGGACUUGAUACUUGGUUCCUCUACCGCUACCGAUGUUGUUGAUGAUAGAGUAUGACGACACGAUGCUUUGCUCCUCUAUCACCGUCUUGAUGGCCUGAUCAACCACGUGGUAAAGUCAACUCUUCCAGAAGAAUGACCUGAAACUAGCAGGUUAGGGCACCGCUAGGGACCAAAAGGUUAAGACAAUUGAGCAGAAGUAGCCCGUGACUGAAAGGUUAGGGCCUCGCCUGGGGCUGAAAGGUCAGGGCGCAGAUUGGGUCAUGGUUUGACAAUCCCUUGUAUUAAUUUGAUGCAUAGAUGUACAUUACUUGUAUUCCAGCAUUUCUUGAGUAUGGACUAUUACAUUUCGGUACAGAUUAUGAUACACGCCUAGAUAUUGUACGCGCCUAGUUGUAGAUUUAUUUCAGCUUACCAUUUUUAUCCCCUACCAGUUCAGUAGGUGCAGCUUGCCCUCGUCGAAUUGUUAUACCUAAUGAAAAACUUUCAUUAGUUUUUCACUGCACUAUUUUUAUAGGAAUGUCAAGUGGAGCGAAGAGUGAAGCAACGUGAGAAUCGAGUUAUGGUAGAGCCUCUCCUCUACAGUUACCAUUUUUGUUUUUAUUUAAAUGAAAAUUGUUAACAAAUGUAUUCUUUUUUUUGAGUAAACAGGGUUAAACCCUAUUUGGGAGACAGUUAAACGAACAAAACAAAACAAAAGCCCCUUCGGCUAAACAUAACCCCACAAAUAGAACGACCUGAGGCAAAUCGCUCAGUACCCAAAACUGCAAGAAAAAAGAGGAAACACACACGAAGAGAAAAAUAGGGAGGAAAAGAAAAGACAAUUCACAAUUCAGACACUAUGUAGGAGUUGUCGUCAGUUCUUUAACACCGCAGCCCAAAGCUUCACCGUACAGAGUAUUUCUUCUCCCAGUUCUUCACCUCGUUUAGUACGAUCAUUGAUAAUUAUCAUAUUUCGCUGCUUCCAAAGUUCCUGAAAAAUGUAUUAUUUUUCACAAAUGUAUUAUCAUAUUUCGUGCUUCCCAGUUCUUCACAAAUGUAUUAUUUUGAAAAAUAGGAAGUUUACUAAACAUUUAUAUUAAUGUUUUCAAGUUUAAAAUUCCUAGAUUUUUUUCUACAUAACUGAACUAAAUUGACAUGUGUUUUUUAUCCCAACGUCGUGCACAAGCAGGAAAAAAUUUGUCCAUGUGGCGGGUUUAUUCGCUCACCCAGUUUCGCUUCUAAGUUGGGGCAUGACAUUAUGUGUAGACACUUCAAAGAGAGUGGAUUCGAGGUCUUUUUAUGUUCUAAGUUUCAAUGUUCUUAGGGCUUACAACACAACGUUGACGAUACAUUAUUUGCAAUUAACAUUACUAAUACAGUAAGACUCAAUUGACAACAAUGGGGAUGAUGGUGGUCGAUAAGCAGUAGCUAUGUUCACACUAACAAAGGUGGCAGUGGUGACACUUGCAGCGAUUAUAGUGGUAAGCACCAAUGUUGGCGAUGGUAACAAAGGCAGAUGAUCGUGACUACUUCGAUAACAUAGAAGCCAUCGAUGGAGUUGAUGGUGAUAGUGGUGGCAUUUGAAACAAUGAAAGUGAUAACUAUGGUGGCAGCAAUCUUCAUGACAGUGGCUGAUGUUGGUGGUGGUGGAGGCAGAAAUGAGGCAAGAGUUGUACAAGCAGCAAUACUGGUGUUGGAAGGGGAUGUGAAUGGCGAUGGGGUUGCAAAGUGGUGGCAAUAAUGGUGGAUGUGGUCGUGGCAAUGAAGUGGUGGUAACACUAGUGUCGACAAAGGUAGUGAAUGCUAUAGAGGUUGUCAUAUAAGAUUUUGGGUCUUUUGAUUAUAUAUCCCUCAUUACUAUUCAAAAUUUUCACAUUUGCCCCUCUACUCCCAAAAUACCCCUCUAAACCCUAAAAUCCCAUUGGUAAACCCUAGGGUUAGGCGUAUAUUUGAAGAAAUAUUUUGAAAUCAACAAGCACAUUUUGGUCCUCGAACGGUAUAUUAGAUAUUUUUGACGUAUUGAAGGGUAUAUAGAUAUUAUCCCUUAGGUUUUUGAUGGCUGAUCUCAUUUCAAUUGCACUUUCUUUUGAGGCAAUUCGGCCAAUGUCAUCAACAUGUCGUAAGCACAUAUUUUGAUGAGAAAUUGUUGUGUAAUGUAUAGACCUUUAACCAAAUUGGCGAAGUGCAGAUUAAAGUCCUGCUAGACAUGAUUAAAAUGGCUUUUGAGAAGCUUAGGCUGUGUUUGGUGCGAGUUGAAACCGAUUCGGAUCAAAACACAGUCUGGAUUUAGAUUUUCAGACUUUCUUGACACCCGGAAGAGGUUUUCGGAUGCUCGAAAUCAUUUCGGAUGGCACAACCAAGUACCCGAAAAAAGCGGACGUUCUACUCGACAAUUAGGCUCACAAGAAGGUUAGCCUACGUGCACUUGAAUAGCCUUGUGGGCGUCCGAAACCCUUUCGGAUAUCUCCAGAGGGUGUCCGAACCCCUUUUGAAAGCUCUACCCAAGAGCUCAGGUGCAGGAAGGAUUAAACAUUUGGGCAUCCAAAUGUUCCUGCCGGCACCCGAAACACCUUCCAGACGGCUUUCGCGGGCGUUCGAAUACCUUCAGGAUGCUCAACCCGAGAUGACUGGUCGCGCGGCUCAUUAAAUAAAUAGGCGGUAGAUCUCCCCUGUUACGGGCGAAAUGUGGAACUGCGCAAAUUGGGUGAGUGCCCAGGGCAACUCCUAGAUGCUGCUACAUAGCCUUUGGGCGCCCGAAAGUUCAGGCGAGCGCCCGAAACCCGUCCCAGAGUCUAUAGCUCAUUUUAUUGCAAGUAUGAAAGAUUGAGGGCCUAAAGUGCAAAUGUAGCACUUCUAUAUAACCCCCUCAUCACAUCCAAACCUUACCCUUCUCUCAUUUCACUCCCUCUCUCUAUUCUCUCUCUCUAGAAGGGGGAAAUUCUAGUUGGAAAUUCUAGUUUUCUCCUUUCAUAGAUGUUAGAGAUCUAUCUUCUUUGGGGGAUUAGAGGAGAUCAAGAACUCUUGGUAGAAGCUCUAGGAAGAAGAAGGCAAACAUCUCAUGAAUUUAAACUUAAGUUUAUUGGAGACAUGCAAGAUGACGAAAUUGCUCUAUAGAGGUAUUGGAACUAGAAUGUACGUGAACUAGAGAGCUAAUGUCAUCAAGCGGCAUUGAGCUCGGGACAUGUGAGAACCUAGUCGAUAGGGCCAUUGAGGGAUUUGGAUUACAUGUUGAACAUCAAAUUGCCUAAGUGUCAUCAAGGGGCACUAGGCGUAGCAAAUAUUGAAACUUCACAUUGUGACUUAAACUAGAUCUUCGGGAUGCUAGUGACCAUACCAUGUUAGAGACAUGAGGAUUGGAUNNNNNNNNNNNNNNNNNNNNNNNNNGCGACCAUUUAGGGAUUUGAUUACAUGUUGCAACAUUGCCAAAAUUGCUAAGUGUCUCCAAGGGCACUAGGCGUACAAUGAUUGAAACUUCAAUAUGUGACUUAAACUUAGAUCUUCGCGGGAUGCUAGAUGACCAUACCCAUGUUGAGAGAACAAGGAGGAUUGGAAUAUUUGAGACUUGCGACUAUGCUUCCUUACGCAUUUGUGGCUCGUUUCGCACAUGUCUUGUGAGGGUGCCUCCCUAUGAAGAGAGCCGCACUGGCCACCAUUGAGAGGGGCGGUGAGCGGGGAGCUGCCCGGCGCGGAGUUAGGCCACGGACCUACGAUAUCGCUCGUCGGUAUGUGGAGAAGCCUUAACGAGUCAGUGGGAACAGACACAUCUCCAAGAAGUAGGGAUGUUGGGCUACACACAAUGGCAGCUUAGGCGGCACAUAAGCUGGACUUACCUUUGGUAAGGUCCUUAAUUGAAAAUGGAAAUCGACACGCGUGUUCGAAGUUUAUUAUGAAUCACUACUGAAAUCAGACAGUAGUAGUAGGAUUACGGGACUUAGCGUGCCUAAGGCAUAAGUUGUGACAUUUGGGUAUUCAUACUAACAUGUAGUAUGCCUAGGAGAGUUUGUUUAUUACACUUACUGCAUGUGGAGGUCAUGACAAAUUAAUUGUAUACUUUCCUAUACGGUAUAUAGUAAAGAGCAUGAUAUUACUUGUGAAAUACAUAUAUAUCCAUGUGACAAGAUAGACAAAGUCGCGAUUAGGGAAUGCCAGGUAUUAAUUGGCAAGUCGUAGCUUAGCAUAUAUCGAAUUAUUAUCUUUCUAAUGAACAGAUUGUACCGUACUAUUAUUGUUAGAUCUUAUCCGCUUUCCUUUUGGGGCCUAGUGGCACUGAGCUGAGUCAUAAUGCCCACUGAACUAAAUUCACUAGUCUCACGCCCCCAGUCCUUUUUCUCGGCUUGUUUUUUCACAGAGCAAUUCCACGCCAAGUGGUCGCAGGGAUCGCGGGAUAGGUGAGUUGCUACGGAGCUAGUUUCCUUCGAGGAAGAGUGCUAGGUGGUGCUACCGGUCUCGCGAUAUUUUGACGGCAAUGGUUUUGUGGGCGAGAGGAGGCCGCCUAUUCGAGAGGGUUUGUACCAGUAUACUAGGAGGUGGAAGUGCGGAAAGAUCACCCAUGAACUUUGUGAUGGGAAUUGACUCGCUCAGACACAGGCCCGCGGCAUCGGACGCAAUUUUAAUGGGUGAAUUGUGGAUCAGGUGACGGAAAUCGCGCAUAUUUCGUACCUAUCCAGCCUACUUGGACUGUGAGAGAACUCGAAGAGGUCCAUAUUUGGACACGAGAUUGUGCGACUUGACACGGGGUACCUACUUUAUAGGUAUAGAUCGAGACCCCCCGUUUUGUAUUCCACUUUUGGAGGAGCUGCAGGAGUCGCUGUUUGGGUAUGACGCUUGAUUAGCACAUGGCUCCACAACCCCAGAGUUGACGCAGUCGGCAGCGUACUCAUAUCAGACUCUCGGAGAGCCAUGCUCUCGAGCGACGCGUGAUCGAUUUUCCAGGGAGGAUGGUCCAGCAUCUGAGCGAUGGCAGAGCUUGCUAUAACAAUCAGUUAUCAACAAGCAUUGCAGAUGGCAACCGUUUCGAAGGCACUGCCUAUGGACGGAAGUGUAAGAUCGCUCACGUCAUUGGAGUGAAGUGGGUGGAGAGAUUGCUUUAGGCCCUGAUGUGCUCCAAGGGAGGCAGAGGACAAGAUUCGCAUUGCUCGGAGCGAUUGUUGACAGCCCAAGAGUAUGGCAGAAGAGUUAUCUGAUCGGGCGUCGACCAGAGAAUUGGAGUUAGAUUGGAGACCAUGUGUCUUGAAAGUCUCGGCCGACACAACAAGAUCGAGCAGAUUUGGAAUCGCGGGGCAAGUUGAGCCCCCGAUAUAUUGGACCGUAAUGAGUUUGGUCUGGAGCGUAAUAGGCCCGGUAGCGUAAUUGAUUCUUGUCUAACACGCAAACCUAUCGGUGUAGCACAAUGUGUUUCAUGUAUCGGUCCCUUCGGAAGUACAUCCACGACACCCGGUUCAUUGUUUUGGACGCUACGCCUUUGGAGCUGAGGGAUGAAACUUGAGCUUUGAAGGAGGACCCUGAGGAUUUUGCUCGCGAGGUGAAAAGAUUCGGCGGAACCGAGAAAUCCUUACGUAAGGUGGCUUUGAGCAACCACGACACGCGAGGCACUUGGAGCUGAUGAGCGCACUGCGGAGCGCUAUCCCCAUCUUUUGUUCAGAUGGAGGCUUGAGGUAUUGAUCAUUUCGAGUUUCGCGGACGACUAGACUUUUUAGAGGGGUGAAUGUAACGCACUGGAACCUUUGCAAAUUGCGAGGUCUGAGUGUUGGAUGUAUUUCGAGCUUUCCACACUUGGUGAGGGUUGUAGAAUGUUUUCCGACCUAAAAAGUGUCGAUAAACUGGAAAUUCUGGACAAGUCCUGAGAGUUUUACACGUCACGGGGACCGGUCGCUGAAAGGAGAAGACCCCGCGUCCCCACAGUGAACAGUGAUUGCGACAGCCCUCGGGAGGACGAAGGACCGUCUGGAGGGGCGGCGAGAGGUCCCCUGAGCGCAGGUCUCGCCAGAGAGAUGACCGUCCCGCGCAGGGAUGACGACCGGUUGCCGAACGUUGGUUUUUCGGUUCGCAGCGAGAGACACCGUCCUGCUGGGGGAGAGACCGGUCCCUCUGGGCGAAAACUGCAAGACCGGGCUGAUGCAAUAUUGAUUUUUGAGGGGACCUCUUGGAAUUGUUGUUACCAAUAGACGGGUCUAUAUGACGCUCCACUCUCUCUUCUCCCCAUUUCUUCUUCUCAAACGCCUCUCUACACCCUUGAUAGAGAAGCAAGAAAGAAGAAGGGAGGGAGAGCCGAUGCGUUACCUGAUCAUGUGCUUCGGGCGGCGUGACGACUGGCCCCGCCAUGUAAGGAGGGGAAAGGGAGAAGAAGUUGGAGCUACUAGUGGACUUGGAGCAUUCUCACCCUCUCAUCAUUCCCUUUGGUGCUUGAGAAGCUUGUUUUUGGAGCUUGCAUAGGAGAGAUCUUCAGCUUGAGCAGGAUUGGAGCUUCUAAGGAGGUUGUUGCUCAUUUCCCUCCAAUAGAUUUGUUUUGAAAGUUUUUGUAGAUGGAACCACAGAAAUGAGAAUUUAGGGUAUGAUUUUGGCGCUUUUGAUCUAGAGAGCUUUUGGGGCUAAAUUAAUUGGUUUAAGAACCUUCCUUGGGCUUGGAUUGGAAGGGUUCUAGCUCUCUUUUUGGAGCUUUGGAAAGAGAUUUCUCUCUUGAGGUGAGUCUGACACCCUUUUUGCUCCUAGGUUAAUGUUGAAUCUUACGGUUGGUCGUAAUGCCCGCGUAUCUUUCGCGUUCAAUCCCUUUUAGGGUAUUUUGAAACUCGCGGGACAAUUUGUUCGGCGAAACGAGCCCAUCGGCACGUUCGGUGGUUUGACAUUAGCCACACAAUGAGAAAAUUCUAUUUGUGCUUAAUUAGUAUCAUUAAAAUGAAAAAGCAUGCAAUUCUUAUGUAUUAUAUGUGAUUUUAAAUCAAGGGCUAUUGUAUACAUGCUAAAUGGACUAGCUACUAAUGAUAAUGUGAGUCAUGUAGAUUUGGCUACCUAUAGUUGCAUUUAACAUCACUCAUGUUCUGUCUUGUUUCAUACUUCUAUAGUGUCAUGAUUUGCAUUCCAUGCAUUUAAAACUAAGUUUAUUGAGACAUGCAAGAUGAUGAAAUUGCUCAUAGUGUAUUAGGAACUAGAAUGUACGUGAAACUAGAGAGCUAAUGUCAUCAAGCGGCAUUGAGCUCGGCAUGUGAGAACUAGUGGAUAGGCCAUUGAGGGAUUUGGAUUACAGUUGAACAUCAAAAUUGCCUAAGUGUCAUCAAGGGGCACUAGCGUAGCAAAUAUUGAAACUUCACAUUGUGACUUAAACUAGAUCUUGCGGGAUGCUAGUGACCAAUACAGUGUUAGACAUGAGAUAUGAUAUUUGAGACUUGGACUAUGCUUGCUUGCAAUUUGUGCUCUUCGGCACAUGCUUGUAAGGGUCGCUCCUACAAGCCGGCACUCCCGGAGUUAGCCUACGCGAACUACAUUCGCUCGUAGCGGUAUUGAGAAGCCUACGGGGUCGAGUGGGACAGACACAUCCAAAAGAGUAGGGAUGUUGGGCUACGACAGGCACUUAGGCGCACAGCGAACUAACCUUGUAGGUCCUUAAUUGGAAUGGAAAUCGACACGGUGUUGAGUUUAUUAUGAAUCACUAACUAAUCAGAGCAGUAGUAGAGGAUUACUUGGACUUACCUCCUAGCAUAGUUGUGGACAUUUGGGUAUUCAUACAUACAUGUAGUAUGCUAGGAGAUGUUGUUUAUUGCAUCCUUAUAUGCAUUGGAGUCAUGACAAAAUAUUACUUUCAUAUCGGUAUAUAGCAAAGCAUGAUAUUACUUGUGAACAUAUAUAUCCAUGACAAGAUAAAGUCGCAUUAGGAAUGCCAGGUUUAAUUGCAAGUCGUAGCUUAGCAUUAUAAUUAUUAUGCUUUCUAAUAUGCAGUUUACUCAUUACUAUUAUUGUUAGACUUACCCUUUCUUUUGGGGCCUAGUGGUGCACUGAGCUGAGGUCAGUAAUUGCCCACUGGGAACUAUAAAUUAUAGUUCUCACGCCCUCUUUUUCUCGAUGUUUUUCAGAGCCUUCCACGCAGGGUGAGGCCAGGGAUCGCGGGAAGGGAGUUGCUACGAGCUAGCUUCCUUCGAGGACGAGUUGCUAGGUGGUCUACCUCUCGAUAUUUUACCUUUUUGGCGAGAGGUUGAGGGUUUUACCAGUGUACUAGAGGCCACCAUUUUUGUACUAGAGACAGAUAUUGUACUACUUAUGAUUUCUUUUAUUGUCUAGCUUUACUUCUUUACUUUGUUAUAGAUGUUAGAAUUUUACUCGCUCUGAUAUCAUUAGUUGCUAGAUAUUUCACUUCCUCUAUUGUACCAUUUCUUGCUUUUACUUCCGCUUUUAUUGUAGACGCCUUAUAUGUGUAGACAUAUGGCGGGUCUGGGCGCGCUACCGGGAGGGCCUCCCCCGGUCCCGGGGCGUGACAUCACCACCCACCUCGUGGCGAUGUCGCGACUCUUCGAAUACGAUUCGCCGACUUUACGAUGCCUCGUUGGCCUUCUAGGCGGGAACGAAGCUCCGAGGGUCUCCUUUUGACGAUAACUUCGCACCCAGUAGACGGAUCCUCGAACCGUCUUCGCCAGCGCGUUUAGAAACCUAGCAAUUAGGUUUCCGACCCAUCAAGAGAGAUCAAAACCUUAGAUUUCCAAAAACCCCAAAUCGAAGCCCUAGGUUUGUAUCGAUGGAGAAAUCCAUGGUUCGAGCUUCGGAUUCGAGCUAGAAACAUCUAUUUAGCUCCAAUAGGUUCCAAUAAAACCAACUCCAAGCUAUAAAACCCUAUCAUAAGAAAUCUACCAUUGUAGGGUUCAAAGCUUACCUUCAAAAGCUUGCUCCAACGAGAGGAAGAAGAUGAGGAAGAUGAUCUUCUUCUUUGUCUUCUUCUCCUUCUGCUUCUUCUCCUUUCUCUCCUCCUCUUUCUUCUUCUCCUUCUCUUGCUUCUAGAGAGAGAGAGAGAGAGCAAUGUGAGUGUGGGAGUGGGAGAGAAAUGAGAGAACAUGAGGGAGAGAGAGGUCCCCAAGCCUCAUAAAGGCAGUUUUGCAAGUAACCCCCUCAACUUUUCAUUUUCUGAAACAGCCCUCACUGGGCCAUUUUCGGGUACGGGGACCGGUCCCUCUGAGGGAGGACCAGUCCCCCGAGAGCUGUCCAAAAAAAUAGGCGUACAGGAACCGGUCCCCACCCAGAGGGACCGGUCCCCGAGAGCUUUCUCCGGAAAUACAAGCUACGGGAACCGGUCCCCUCCCAAAGGGACCGGUCCCCGAGAGCAUGAAAUCUGCUCCUUGAGCAGAUUUUACUCCGAGCUCUCGCGGGGCCAUCCUCAAUGCACUUUUGAUGUUUUUGAUGUUCUCGGACUUUCCGAAGCACACCAACUCGACAAUUAGUUGAUUUUGUACGUAGUUAAACUCCCGAAUUUCGAGAAUUCACUUCCCUUACAAUAUGACAGGUAACUCUAGUCUUUUAUCUGCCUUUCGGUCUCAUAUAACAUUUUCUACUACUAUUUUAGCUGAUGGAUCUACCUCUUGUGUCACCGGUUCUGGCAUUGCAAACCCAACGUCAUCAAUUUCUUUGUCAUCUGUUUUAUGUUUACCCCAGUUUUCUUUCAAUUUACUAUCUAUUAGUAAACUCACCCGAGCUUUAAAUUGUUGUCUCAUUUUUUCUCGAUCAUUGUUUGUUUCAGGAUCUUACGACGAAGCAGAUUAUUAGUAGAGGACAUGGUCUAGGUCUCUAUAUCCUUGACAACCAGGUGCCGAGGUCUCUUGCUUGCUCCUGUAAUUUAACUCCUUUUGAGGUCCAUUGUCGGUUGGGACAUCCUUCGUUAUCCACCUUGAAGAAAUUGUUUCCGCAGUUUCAGUCUUUGUCCAGUCUAGAGUGUGAGUCAUGUCAGUUUGCUAAACAUCAUCAUUUACCUUCUGUGUCUAGAGUCAAUAAACGGGCAUCGUCCCCUUUUGAGUUAGUUCAUUCUGAUAUUUGGGGUCCAUGUCCUAUUGUUUCCAAAUCAGGAUUUAAGUAUUUCGUUACCUUUGUGGAUGAUAAUUCUCGUGUUACUUGGAUAUAUUUAAUGAAAAAUCGUUCAGAACUAUUCUCAAUUUUUUGUGCCUUUUGUACUGAAAUUAAAACACAAUUUAAUGUUUCUGUGCGUAUAUUGCGAAGUGAUAAUGCCAAAGAAUACAUUUUAGAAAAUUUUCACAGUUAUAUGACACAGAAUGGCAUCCUUCAUCAAUCCUCAUGUGUUGACACCCAAAAUGGAGUUGCUGAAAGAAAGAACCGACAUCUCCUUGAGGUAGCUCGCGCCUUUCUUUUUCAAAUGAAAGUUUCUAAACACUUUUGGGCUAAUGCAGUUUCCACAGCUUGUUUUCUGAUUAAUCGCAUGCCUUCGUCUGUCUUGGAUGGUGAUAUUCCUUAUACUAUUUUGUUUUCAUCUAAAUCUUUAUUUCCUAUUGAACCUCGUCUUUUUGGUAGUACGUGUUUUGUGCGGGAUGUUCGUCCACAGGUAACUAAAUUGGAUCCAAAGUCCCUUAAGUGCGUCUUCCUUGGGUAUUCUCGUCUGUGCUUCUCUCCUACUCUCGAUCGAUAUAUUGUGUCUGCAGAUGUUACAUUUUUUGAAUCUACUCCAUUCUUUGCUCUUUCAUCUAUUUAUGAAAGUCAGGGGGAGGAAGAUGAUCUCCUUGUUUACAGUAUCAGACAAGUGUCCAGUCCUGCAACAUCUAUUCCUACUCCAUCGGCAAUUGUUCAACCCCUUAUUGUUCAUGUCUAUUGUAGGAGAUUGGCGACUCCUGACUCAGAUCCUCUACCAGCUUCUUCGUCCGAAGAUCCAGUCACUACUAUCACCGACCUUGCCUAUGACUCUGAUCUUCCCAUUGCUCUUCGCAAAGGCAAACGGACAUGUACUUACCCUAUUUCAUCAUUUGUUUCUUAUGACUGUUUGUCAUCCUCUUCUCGUUGCUUCAUUACCUCUCUGGAGUCUGUUUCUAUUCCUAAAUCUGUUGUGGAAGCUUUGUCUCAUCCUGGCUGGCGUGCUGCAAUGGAAGAGGAAAUGAUGGCUUUAGACGCUAAUGGUGCUUAGGAACUAGUAUCCUUACUUGCCGAUAAGCGAGCUAUUGGUUGUAAAUAGGUAUUUAAGGUGAAAAUGAAUACAGAUGGUACUGUAGCUCGCCUAAAAGCCCGCCUUGUUGCCAAAGGCUAUGAUCAGACUUAAAAGGUUGAUUAUUCCGACACUUUUUCUCCUGUGGCUAAACUUGCUUCUAUUCGCUUAUUUAUUUCGUUGGCGGCCACCUCUCAUUGGGUUUUACACCAGCUAGACAUUAAAAAUGGUUUUCUCCAUGUUGAUCUUCAAGAAGAAGUAUAUAUGGAGCAACCACCUGGUUUUGUUGCUCAGGGGGAGUUAGGUCGAGUUUGUAGACUUCGGAAAUCUUUAUAUGGCUUGAAGCAAAGUCCUCGAGCUUGGUUUGGCAGAUUUAGUGAAGUAAUUCCGGAGUUUGGCAUGAAGAAGAGUAAGUGUGACAUUCUAUGUUUUAUAGACAUUCUGAGUCUGGUAUAAUUCUAUUAGUAGUGUAUGUGGAUGAUAUUAUCAUUACUGGGAAUGAUAUUGCAAGAAUCUCAUCUCUCAAGCUUUUUCUUCAAACCCAGUUUCAGACGAAGGACUUGGGGCUGUUGAAGUAUUUUUGCGUAUUGAAGUUACAAGAUGCAAAAUAGGCAUCUUCUUAUCCCAAAGAAAAUAUGUGCUUGACUUAUUAGCAGAAACAGAAAAAUUAGGAGCUAAACCUUGCGGUGCACCAAUGGCUCCUAAUCUCCAACUUACAGCUAAUGAUGAUGAAUUGUUUGAAGAUCUAGAGAGGUAUAGGAGAUUAGUUGGCAAAUUGAACUAUCUUACAGUGACUCCGCCAGAUAUUGCAUACUCCGUCAGUGUGUUAAGUCAGUUUAUGUCUUCUCCGACUGUUACUCAUUGGGAAGCUUUGAAACAAAUUUUGUGUUAUCUGAAGGGAGCUCCAGGGCAUGGUAUCUUGUACAAGAACCAUGGACAAUCAAAUAUUGAAUGCUUUUCAUAUGCAGAUUGGGCGGGUUCAAAGGUUGAUAGGAGAUCGACUACAAGAGUGUUUUUGUUGAAGGUAACUUGGUGUCGUGGAGAAGUAAGAAGCAAAGUGUUGUCUCCCGUUCUAGUGCUGAAUCGGAAUACAGGGCUAUGACACAAUUUCUGUGUGAAGUAAUGUGGAUACAACAAUUAUUGGAUGAGGUUGGUCUUAAGAAUCCACAACCUAUUAAAUUAUGGUGUGAUAAUCAAGCUGCUCUCCAUAUUGUCUUUAAUCCUGUAUUUCAUGAGCGAACUAAACAUAUUGAGAUUGAUUGUCACUUUAUUCGUGAAAAGAUACAACAAAAGAUCAUUUCAACAGAGUAUAUCAAGACUGGAGACCAAUUGGGGGAUAUCUUCACAAAAGCUUUGAACGGAGCUCGAGUUGACUACAUUUGUAACAAGUUGGGCAUGAUUAAUAUCUAUGCUCCAACUUGAGGGGGAGUGUUAUGAAAACUAAAAAUUGUAUAUAUUAUGUUCCUAUUUAGCUAGCAUAAUUUUAGGCAUCUUUCCUUAGAGAUCUUUUCUUAUUAAAUAUCUUAUUAUAGAAACAUUUAUCAUUUAUGUAUAUAUAUCUUUGUAAUUCAUUAUUGAAUGAAUAAGAAGAAUUUGAAUUCUCUUCUUCAGUUUGUUUCCAUGGCUAUGGAAGCGAAGUUUUUCCAGUUCCAUUGUUUGUUUGGCAGGAAGUCAAAGGCAUAAAAACUAUAGUUCCCCGCUUUCUGUGUUUGUUUCAUCAAAUAAUGUUAAAGCCCUACACCCUUAGUAAACUUAUCUCCUACAUAGCUCUCUAGUUAUAUGACAUUGUUGCCUCUUAUAUAAAUUGACAAAUAAUAAAUUAAAUUAUAAUAAAUAAAUAAAAUAAUAUAAUUGUAUCCCCUAUAAAAUUAAAAAUUAUAAUUUAAAAAAACUAAAUUGAUUUUUCGUACAUAAAUUAUAAUAACGCAACUAUAAAACUCUAAAUAAAAAGAGAUACCAACAUUCAAUUAAUCAAAUUUUCAUCAAACUUCCAAUGUGCAAACUAAGUAAAAAACCAUUAACACUUGACUAAUCAAUAUUCAUUAUAUUUCAAACAUAUAAACUAUAUAAAAGAGAAUUUAGAACAACAAUCAAAUAUAUUUAGAAGAGAGAGGCAGUAAUCCUUUCACGAAAAUAGGUUUCCCCUUGUAAUAUUUUUUUUUAAAAAAAUUCUCCCUGUAACAUACCGACUCCCCGAUUAGUUGUACUGAACCUCGGCCAAAUUGGUCGAGGUGCAGUGAGGUGUGAGUUCAAGUGGUCCACGAAGGGUUCCGAAGGCUUCAGAACAAUUAGAAGAGCGUUUGGGACUUGGGAGAGCAAAAUAGAAAAUUUCAAGUCAAAUUGGGCAAAAAUGUUCUCGGGUUCCGGAACCUGAGAUAGGUUCCAGAACCUAGCUGCGUGGGAACCCAUUUGAGCAUGGACAUUGCUCUGAAAACGCAAAACGGUGGGUUUUGUGGAAUUUGCAUGGUUGAGAGGGAUUAUGUUGCAAAUGUCAAGAGGACUUAUAUAUGGGCGCUAAACCCUCUCUUUCUCUCAUUCUCUUCCACACCAACAAAGAGAAGUUCUUUCUCUUUCUCUCUAACCCUCUCCUUCACCUUCUUCUUCUUCCCUCUCUUUCACUAGAAACUCUCCAACAAGUAGGCUUAGGAGUGAAGCAAGCUCUUGUACAAGGGAGUAUGAAGAAAGUAAGGGGGCCAAAGGUGAGUUUUUGAGGUUUUUGGAGUUAGGGUUUUGGUAAAUCCUUCUGAAACAAGUUAGUUAGUAAUCCUACAUGAUUUUAACCUAGAAUAAUGCAUGAAUCCUAUGAAUACUUUGCUCGUUUGCCUAAGAAUAAGUUUCUAGGGUUUUUGAAAGAGGGCUUUUGUCACGCCCCGCGACCGCUACCAAUUUGGCUCGGCCCGGGCGCGUCAAACAGACGCCGAACGGACAGGACCUCCCCUGUCCGUCCAAGGCUAACCAACAGAUCGUGCAUAAGAAUUUACCCAGGAAUCAAUUCAUAAAUACACGAUCAAUAAGCACCACUAGUGCUAUAAACAAGAGCAAGAUACAAGUAUAGAAACAUAUACAAGUACAUAAGAGAGAAGAGACUAUCUAUUACAUUCAUUUGAUUUACUACAUUUAGAUACAUCUUUUACAUUCUUCCAAAAUAUAAAUACAAGCAAUCAACCCUCACCCUAUACAACAUCUACUCUCAAAUACAAAAGGGGUGACGGCUAAUGCAAGAAGAGGAGGUAGCUAAUGCGACUAGAACGCCGGGCCCUUACCGCGAUCCUCACGCUCACCGGGGACACCCGAACUGGAACCUGUGGUAAAAUGGGGGUGAGAACUAACUUCCUUAGUUCCCAGUGGGUUCGGCCGCCGACUCCGCCGAUCUCCCCACUAGGUCCAAGCGGGCAUAAGUAGACAAUCGAUAGAUAGGUAGAUAGAUAAGGAAAGCUGUAAAUGGCGGAAAUGAAGCUACGCUACCAUGCCCAAUCAUAAGUAUAUGAAUGCAUGUCCAAUGAAAUAGGUAAGCAACUAAUCUGUUAUCAUGUCCAAGGGUGAAGCUAUUCACUCGUUCAUUAACCUCAUUUACUUGUUCAUUAAUCUCAUGGCUUACCCGAAGGCUCGCCUACAGCUCACUAGCCAUCUCGACACGUAGGGAGAAUUAACUCACACUACGGACCCGAGACCGUCUGGCGGGGCCAAAUAGGCAAUCCCUGGCGUGACCAACAUCCGGAGCGCACUACUUGUGUGGGGCUUCCAUCACAAGAUUUAACAGACCGUGAGCAUGAUCCAAUCCUCUAAGCUCGAGGAUACCCUGUCCUCUAGAGUCACAAUCAUCAUAUAGUCCAUAGGUGUCGCAUACACUAUUAACUAGAUUGUCCGUUUGUCCGCUAUCGACUAGAUGCCACUCGUUCAUAGUUUACUAUUAACUAGAUGCCACUCGUUCAUAGUUCAUCAUUUUCUCUACAUCAUAGGAUUCACAAUCUCGACCCAAUCCUUAUCAAUCCAAUAUAUCAAUUAUCCGAUGUACGCUACGAUACCAUGAAGGAAAAACAUAAGGAAAGGCAAUGCAUACUAAUCCUAUAAUGCAAUAAUACAAGAUGCAAGAUCAAAUAUACUAAGACAUAGGAGGGAGCCCGAUUGCUUCGGGAUGGACACCACCCACCUCUUGGCGAUGCCGUGAUAGUAGAAAACUCGACGUUGGGGUUCUUGUACGCCGCUUCAACUCCUCGGGGCGAAGCGAGCCCUCGAGUACCCGAUUCGGCGAUUUCUCCGCACCCGCUCGUCGGAUCGAGAAACCGACUUCGCCGACGCGUUCCGGGACCUAGCAAUUAGGUUUGCGACCUAUUAGAUUAGAUCAAAACCCUAGAUUUACCAAAAACCCAAUUCCGUGCCCUAGGAUGGCAACGGGGAAGAAAUCCGUGGUGCGAGCUUCAAUUGCGAGCUCGAACCUUCUCCCUAGUUCCAUUAGGUCCCAUUCAAACCAUAAAAACCCCAAAACCCUAGAAACACCAUUAAAGGGUUUAGAGCUUACCCCUACACAAGGUUCCUUCAAGCUUGAGGGAGAGGGAGAGAAGAAGAUAUCUUCUUCUUCUUCUUCUUCUUAGUCUUCUCUUUCUCUUUCUUCUUCUUUCUCUUCUUCUUCUCCUUCCUCUUCUUCUUCUCCUUCUUCUCUUUCUUUUCUUUUCUUUCUUAGAGAGAGAGAGAAAAGAGGGUAAGAGAGAGAGAGAAAGCAGCUGAGAGUGAGAGAGAGGGGUCCCCCACCUCUAAUAAAGGCCAUUUUGCAUAAAAGCCCCUCAACUUUCACCCUUGUGCACUGCCCUCACUGGGCAGUUUUCGCGCGGAGAGACCGGUCUCCCCGACUUGGGACCGGUCCCCGAAGGCUGCCAUUUCGAGCAGAGGGAUUUUCGCGUUCGGGAACCGGUCCUUGCCUGAGAGACCGGUCCCCGGGAGACCGGUCCUUGUCCGAGAGACCGGUUCCCGAGAGCUGCAUUCUCGGGACUUAGCCAAAUUUGGCUAAGUCUCGCCAGGCCAACGUUCGGGAACCGGUCCCUGCCCACCAGGGACCGGUCUCAUCAGAGACCUCCGCAACCCAGCCUGAUGGAACCGGUCCCUCCCUGCCAGGGACCGGUCCCCGAGAGCAAUUCUGCUCCAGUGCAAGUUUUGCACUUGGUGCUCUCGCGGGCCCUUCCUUAAUGCACUUUAUGCAUUAUAACCACCUUCGGACUUUCCGAAGCCUACGCACUCGACAACUAGUCGAUUCUGGUCGAAGUCUAAUCCUCGAGUUUCGAGAAUUCACUUCCUUACAGCUUUUGAGUUAGUAGGGUUUUGAUCUAAGUUGAUCUUGUAAUCUUCUAAUUGAAGGUUGCCGAAGAAUGCCUAGUAGCUUCUCAUUGAAGAUUGGCGACGUUUCGAUGGUCGAUUGAGCAAAUUGAGCUGAGGUUAGACAAUUGCCUUCGUUAGCGCUGAAGUGCAUCGAAACGGUGUCAGAAGUGAAGUCGCUCGGAUUUCCCCGCAAUUGACAUCGAAUCGAGGUGGGUCGUACUGUCCGGAACAGUUGGAUUUCCUUUUAUGUCUAUGUCGCCAUUGUUGUCAUACGAGUAUAUAUGUGUAGAAAUCAUGCAUUUGGGGUUAAUAUUGUGUUGAGCUUUCAAUUCCUUUGCAUGCUUCCUAAAGUAGGGUUAAAUAAGUUAUAUUGAGAACUCAGACAUUGGAUGCAUGAGGAUUGAGUCGUUGGACAUUGGAACCUUAUGAAUGCAAAGAACUAGUAUGUGAACUAGAAAAUAUUGAACUUGGACAUGAAUGUGGUGGCAAUUGUACUAGAUGUGUUUGAUAGCACUGGUGGCAUUUGGACUAGAUAUGUUAGAUAGCACUUGUGGCAUUUGAUGCUAGGGAUUGGUAGAUCCCCGUAUGUUGUUACCCUGGUCAGUAGGGUGUCCUCGGGAUGAGAGGACUGGAUCGUGCUCAUAUUAUCUGUUUGGCUUGCUGGUGGUCAUGACACCACAGGCAAUGAGCUCCGGAGUUGUCACGUAUGGGUUAAAGUAUCUACCCAGCAGACGGCCCUAAAUUGGUCCCCGUGGGCCUCGGUAUUGUGAGUAGGCUCGACCUCCCAGUGAGCUAGUAUGAUUAGGUUGAAAGGUGAAGUUGGUAAGCAUUCUAAGCAUCAAGAUGUUAUUGUUUACCUAGUUUCAUAUUGUAGAGGCAUAGUAGUUGCAUCAGUUGUUUAUUACUAUUUAUUUCCUUUCACUACUUAUGCCAAUUAGACCUAGUGGGAAAGUCGGCGGGAUCGACAGCCGAACCUACUGAGAACUUCUUUUAGUUCUCACCCCCUUGUUUUGGAGAACCUAGCACGAGCGCAGCGGUCGAGGAUCGUGGCAAGGGCAUAGCGCCCUAUGUAGUGGACUUCCAUGUGCUAGUGUACCCACAUGUUAGAGAAAUAUUUUGUAUGUCAUGAGAGAACUUGUAGUUUAGGAAAGACAUGUAUAAGCUUCACUUUGGAAAAUGAAAAUGUAAGUCAUUGUAAUAUGCGUGUAUGAAAGUAUGUGUGGCAAUGGAUGUACUUUGGGUUGUUUGUAUGUGAAGCUUGUAUGUUAGUUGUGAUUAGUUAAGUAAUCAUCUCUCUCGCUCUUGUAAAAUUACCCUCGUGCAAUUCAUGUAUGUUGAUUGUUUUUUUGCCUUAGCAAAAACUCUAUGUACAUGCUGUUGUUGAGCCUUGGGCAAACUGGGGAGGCUCUGUCCGUUCGGCGAUCUAUGCACGCACCCGAACAGACCAAAAGGGCGGUCUCCGGGCGUGACACUCUCACUUCUCCCCUUAUAAUUGAUUUCAGCCUAGGAGUGAGCUAAAGUCAAUUACCGUGUUUUAGAAAACUUGAGUUUCGACCGUAGUUAUAUUACGGUGAACCAAAUAGCAAAAGUGGCCGUUUACAGCCGAAAACCACUUCGCCCCUCUCCCUUUCACAGGCCCUAUGUGUUCGAAACAUCGGCCGUUUACAGCCACUGUUUCAAACAACAAAAGUGGCCAUUUAUAGCCGAAGACCACUUUGGCCCUCUCCACUUCGGCGAAAAACAGGCCUUAUGUAUGUUAGAACAAAAGCAGAAAAUAUCUAGCUCGUCGGAUGUGAAAAUACCAAAAGAGAAUCGAGAAAGAGAGAAGAAAAAUAAAGCACACAAUAUUUUUGUUGUUCGGCCACCAGCCUAAGCUCACGGACGAAGACGGAGCAAAGACUUUAUUAAUGUCGAAACAAAGAAGAUAUCUCUCAAAUUAAGAUCCCAAAAAUAAAGUAUUUGUUUGACAUGCAUAUGCAUAUAGCAUCUCCAAUUUAGCACGUCUGUACAAUGGGAUCUGGAGGAGCGGCUCACCCAAAGAAAAAACACAUACGACAACUCUCACCUUGGUUGAUUAAUUAGUUAGAGCACCCCUGGAGUCCUCUCAGCCAGCAACAGCAACUUGGGCUAAUUAAUUAGAGCAUGGCUUCACAAAGCAUGGCUUCACAAUUAGCACCCCGGCCUCAUUAACAUAGCCGCAUAUAUAUAUUGUAUGGCUCUAGUAUCCAAGUUAGAGUCUAAUUAGAACUCUAAUCUAAUUGGAUUUCUAAACACAAGUCUAAGUCUAAUUCUAAUUCAAUUAGAAUUAAACUUCUACUCAUAAUUCAUAUAGGCCCAAUUAAAUAUAAAUUAUAUCUAAUCCUAAUUAGAUUAGGAUUUAACUCCAAUUUAGAUAGCUACAAAUCUAAAUCAAAUUUAACAAUCUCCACGUUGAUUUAAUAUGUAGUGUCGCCGCUAUGUCGAGAUCGCCACAAAACUCCAUCUUGAAUUUAAUUUGCCUCAAUGCUCCUUAAUGCUCUGUGCUUCGUCUUCUCCAAACGCCCUAUAGGGCCUCAAGUGCUGCCAACCGCCACCAAGUCCAAACAAUUAAACCAAAAUACAACCAUCUCCACUCAAAUUACAUACAUGCUUUAAUACAUGACAUAUACAUGAUCAUUUUCCAAAAUGAAACCUCUACAAGUUCUCUCCUUAUAUACAAAACAACUCUCUAUAUCAUAGGGUAAUGCUAGCACAAGGAGGUUCUCUGCUUAGGGCGCUAUGCCCUUACCACGAUCCUCGACUGCACCACUCGCGCUAGGCUCUGCAAAACAAGGGGAUAAGAACUAAAAAAAGUUCCUAGUGGGUUCGGCCGCUAACCCCGCCAACUUUCCCACUAGGUCCAAUCAGGCAUAAGUAGUAAGAAAAAGGAACAAUAAUAUACAACUGAUAAACUACUAUGCCUCCGCAAUAUGAUACUGGGUAAACAAAUAAGCCACUAUGCUCAUGAUGCAUAUCAUUUCUAUCUUUUAACCCAAUCAUACCGACUAACCCGAAGGUCAAGCCCAACUCACAAAACUAGAACCCUCAGUUGGGGAGAAUUCCGCUACAACCCAUCUGAGACCGUCUGCUCGGGAGAAUUCCGCUACAAUCCAUACGUAACAACUCUGAAGCUCACUGCUUGUGGUGUCGCAACGACCAACAAGCCGAACAAACUAUAUGUGAGUACGAUCCAAUCCUUUAAGCUCGAGGAUACCCUACUAACAAGGGUAAUCACACUCGGGGAUCUACCAAUCCCAAGCAUCUAUUGCCACAAGGUGCUGUCAAACACAUCUAGUCAUAAAAUGCCACCAAUGUUUCACUAUGUUGUCUAGGUUCACAUUUUGGUUCUUUGCACUUAUAGGGUUCCCAACAUUCAACGACCCAAUCCUCAUGCGUCUAAUGUCCAAGUUUUCGAUUCAAGUUUUCUAACUCCACUUUAGAAGCAUGCAAGGAAUUGAAAGCACAAUACAAUGAUAACCCUACAAUACAUAAUAUCUACACAUAUACAUAAUAUGACCAACAAUGGUAACAUAUAUAUAGGAAGAAAUUCAACUAUUUCAAAUAGCACCACCCACCUCAUAUCGACGUCUAGAAGCGAGAAACCAAGCCUCGCGAUUUAUCGUCGCCGAUUUAGCUCAACCCAAGGCUAACGAAGGUGAAUCAGCAAUUUUUCUCAAUAGGACGCUGUAGGCUCGUAUGAACUCCAAUUCGAGUGGCCUCAUGCGUUGAUUUAUCCUUCAAUUAGGGAAAUAAGGGAUCAAUUUCACCAUAAACCCUAUUUCCACAAAAAUUCCUAAUUAUGGUCCUAGGGUUUACACCAUUGGCAAACACCCAAAUUUCUUGUGGAUUCAUAGGUUACCCUAGGUUAAUAUCUCUUAAGAAUCCCAAAAAUAUCAUUUAGAAGAGAAUUAAAUCAAACCCUAACUCAAAUUUUCAAAAACCUCACCUUCGCCUUAUUUACUCCUCAAGCUCCUCCUUAUUCUUGAGAUUCUUCUUCCCUCAAAAGCUCUAAUCAAUCUAAUCUUCUCCAAUCCUCUUCUUGUUGGAGAGAUUCUAGAGAGAGAGAGAGGAGUUGAGUGAGAGUGAGAGGAAGAGGGUUCUCAUGUAGAGAACAAGAGGUAUGCAUUAGUCUAUUUAUAAGCUCCCACCAAUUGCAAAUUAACCCCUCUUUUCAAUAUUCACACCUAUUCAAAUUCUACAUCUCGCAAAGUUGUGUAUCGAUACUCGAAUUGGCGUACCGGUACGCCAGCCCUCAGUACUGGUACCCCCGAACCCGGUUCCUCAAAACCCGAACAUUAGAUUUUCAGAUCAUCAAUUGGGUUUCGGUACCGAGCCUUCCAGUACCGGUACUCAGCCUUCCGAUACCAGUACCCUUGGUUCAAUUCUGCAAAACCCGAUAGCUAACUCCUCUGCACUUUGUAUUGCGUACCAGUACCCAAAAUCCAGUACCGAUACUCAAUACAAAACCUGCAGCUUUAACAUUUCGGAGUUCGUUUUCGCGUCUGGUUGCGCCGAAAACACUCAAACACUCCCAAAAGUCACUUCUAAUAGCUCCAAAGACUUCGGGCCAAUACACGAACCUCUCCAAUCGCCCCCUCACUAGGGCUGGCAAAUGAGCGAGCCAGCUCGUGUUCGACUCGUGUUCGGUUCGAUAUUCGGCUCGCUCGAGCUCGGCUCGAAUUAAUUUCAAGCAAGCUUGAGCCUAAAUUUAGGCUCGAAAUUAAUUUCAAGCCGAGCUUAAGUAUUACUCGGUUCGCUCGAAUUAAGCUCGAAAAGCUCGAAAUACAUAUAUAUAAAAAAUUAGUCUACUAUACUAUUAUUAAUAGUACCAACCACUUGCUAUUAGGUUUUCGGCCUUUAGAUAAAAGAAUGUGCGGUUAGAAUGAUAGUGAUCUCCUAGGGUUGAGUGGGUGAUUAGUUGAAUAAUAUGAUAUAACGGGUGAAAAUGUUCAAAAAGGUAGAACUAACGGCACAAAAUUUGUAAGUUACAAGGAGCCCUAGGAUCUUUUAUCUAGAUACUAUCAAACACCUAGAGGGGGGUGAAUAGGUGUAUAGGCCAAAAAACCACAAAUCUCAAUGCGAUAAAAAAUUAAAUGCGGAAAAUAAAAAUCACACCGAAAUUUACGUAGGAAAACUCCAACUUGGAGUAAAAAACUCACGGGACCAACACGCGAAAAAACAAUUCACUAAGAGAAAAGAUCACAAGGUGAUUACCGACUCCACGGACUCGACCUCUCUUAACCUCCUAUGAAUCUGGCUCAAUCCUCCGGGUUGUCCACGCCCUCACGUUCGAAUCCACGAACGCCAUGCACACGUCCGGAUCCACGAAUGCCACUCGAAUCCUCGAGCCCAAGAUUUGAAUCCUCGAACCGCCUUCGAUCACGCCGAAUCCACGACGCCGUCCAUGAAGAACAUCAUGAUUAUGGUGAUCCUUCGUUUAGAGUAUCGAUGAAAACCAAAGAAGAAUCUCUAAGCGAAGCGUAGAUCAAUUCGAUAUAUAGAUAUCAAUUUUUAAUAUCUCGAAUUGACCUAAAAUAGGAUAAUUUGUAGAAAAUAGGUUUAGAACGAAAUCCUAGCCUCUAGGGUUUCUCUAUCAUGUAUUCUCGUGAUGUUCAAUUAGUUAGAGAACCCUAAUAGCUUAUUCAUAGACUUUAGAAUCAAUUAGAGUCGGAUUAGAACGAUUUAGGAAUUUUACACUGCGUACCGGUACUGCAUCAAGUUGGUACCGGUACCAAAAGACGGAACAAAAAUUCCUCAGGCUGCGGUAUAGGUACCAGGCCGAUGCCGUACCGGAACCAGCUGCAGUACCGGUACCCAGCCAAUGCAGUAUCAGUACUCUAUGCAAUUUCGAGAAUUGCAUCACCUGACCACUUCUAAUCCUUUAAAUCAUUUAAUUAUAUGAUUCUAAUGUCAUAAAUAAGUAUAAAUCACCAUAACAUGAAUUAAAACUUACCUUAGCAUCGUGAUUCAUGCCGUGAGAUAUUUCUGAGUUCUCGAAGUCUUGGUUUCUUCAAUCUUCUUCAAUCACGCACCGAACCCUUCAAGACUCCAACUCAAAUCACGAAACUUGCCAACACAAAAUACUUAACAAAAUUCGAUAGCAUCAAGCAUUUGGUACUAUCCAUAAUAUAGUAGCCGGACUCUCUCUCCCACUCUCUCUCUAUAUAGUCCAGCUACUAUACUAUCUAUAUAAUCGAUAGUACUAAGCGCUUUGUAUUAUUGAGUUUACUACCGUUAGAUCUGCCUAUAUAAAUAUAGAGUCCGGCUAUUAUACUAUCGAUAUUACCAAGCAUUUGGUGCUAUCGAGUUUUCUACUGUUAGAUCUAUCCCUUUGGCCAUUUUCAUUCGUCAGAUCAUACUAUUCAACUAGCCACCCACUCAAUCCUAGGGGGCUACUAUCAUCCUGACCGCACAUCCCUUCAUCCAAGGGCCGGAAACCUAAUAGCAAGCGGUUUGUACUGUUAAUAAUAUAGUAGAAUAAUUCUAUAUAUAUAGGCGCAUCGGGCUACUAUACUCUUAUAAGUAUAGAUCUCUCUAUACUUAUAAAUUUUCAACCGUUGGAUGUGCGAUUAGAAUGAUAGUGGUCCCCUAAGAUUGAGUGGGCGGUUCGUUGAAUAGUAUGAUUUAACGGAUGGAAAUGGUCAAAAGGAUAGAUUUAACGGUCGAAAACUUAUGAGUACAAAGGGGUUUAUACUUAUAAAAGUAUAUAUAGUAGCCAAACUCUCUCUCUCUCUCUCUCUCUCUCUCUCUCUCUCUAUAUAUAUAUAUAUAUAUAUAUAUAUAUAUAUAGUAGGGCUACUAUACUCUUAUGAGUACAGAGCCCUUCGUACUCAUAAGUUUUUUUCGAUGUUGGGGCUUUCGAAUCGAAGAUCCACACUGUUAAACAUGAUCUAGAGUAUUUGAAACUUCUAGAAAAUAAAUUUCAUAAUUUUUUAAAUCAUUAUAAAGUCCAUCAAGCGGGUAUGAAAUAAAUGGUCAAAAUCGAACGACAUCCUAAAAAUGGAUGAUCGGAUCCUUCAAUUUAAGAUCGGAGUUAUUGAUCUUUAUUUAGAUAGUGAAUAUAAUUUUCUAUCAAAAAUUAAAUCUAUUCCGAUUCUUUUACACCGUUAAACUAACAAAUAUCUCAUACCGGCUGUUAAAAAUUGUCAAUUUUGUGAGCUUUUGAUCGUAAGGUAAAUGAUAUCGAAAAAUUAUAAAAUUUGAUUUAUAGAAGUUUUAAAUGCUCUAGAUAAUGUUUAAUGGUAUGGAUCGUCGAUUCGAAAGCUCUAUCAUCGAAAACAAUUUAUGAGUACGAAGACGAUCGUACUCAUAAGAGUAUAGUAGCCGGACUCAUAUAUAGUAGGGCUACUAUACUCUUAUGAGUACAGAGCCUUUCUAUACUUUUAUAUUUUAAUUAUAUAAAAUAAUAUUAUUAUGUAUUUUAAUUAUAUGUAUAUAGAAUUUAGAUUAUUGGGCCCACAAAACCAAACCAACAAAAUCAUACUCUAAUUGCUCUCUUUCUAUCUUACUUCCUCGCAGAGCCGCUUUCUCUAAUAUUUUUUAAUAUUAUAAUAUCGUAAUUCAUACAUUAAUUUUGUAUGUUAAACUAUUAGAUAUUUUUUAUAUCAAAUUUUAGAUAAUGUUUAUAAAAAUUAAACUAUAGAUUGCACGAUGUUAAGAAUUUCAAGCAGCUCGUUUAGGGCUCGAGCUCGCUCGACUCGAAGUUAGGCUCGCUCGAGCUCGGCUCGAAUUAAUUUCAAGCGAAGCUUGAGCCUAAAUUUAGGCUCGAAAUUAAUUUCAAGCCAAGCUUGAGCUAAGAUAAACUUGUUCGAGCUCAGCUCGUCUCCACCCCUACCCCUCACUAAACUUCGACCAAUUUGACCAAAGUUCGGUACAACGUAUGGGGGAUUCAGUAUAUUACAAUAAACAAUCGUCGGAUCCCAAUAAAAAGUAAGCUCUCCAAAUAAGUCUCUUAGCCACAAAUCGGAUUCCUAUGUUUUGACUUUGAUUUAAAUGUACCUCUAUUACCGGAACCCUUUUCCUGAGACCUCCCUCUAGCGACUAAACCUACUUCUAAAGCUCCACCUGUCUCAUUGCUUAUCUGCAUGUCAAUCCUCUCGUUUGAAAGUAAAGAGGAUUUAACAUCAUCGAGAUAGAGUACCUCGUCCAAACAAGGUCUCACGAAAAUUCUUGUAAGAGAGCAGUAUAGAACAUAAUAGUAAAAGGGCUUCAUCCUCCUCCUCGAUUUUAACAUCUAUCGAGCGAAGAUUCAUAAUAAUAGAAUUAAGGGUUAAUUGCAUACACGUCCCUGCAAACAUGGUGAAUUGCAGAUAUAUCCCUGCAAAGCUCAACUUUCAUAAGUUAUCCCUGCAAAAGCCCUAAUGUAUUCAGAUAUGUCCCUCUAGUUAGGAUCCGUUAGAGAGCUAUUAAAUUUUUAACAG
rnacentral:lncRNA from 1 species